rnacentral:rRNA from 1 species
UACAGGGGGGGCAAGCGUUGUUCGGAAUUACUGGGCGUAAAGGGCCAGUAGGCGGCCAACUAAGUCACACGUGAAAUCCCCGGGCUCAACCCGGGAACUGCGUCCGAUACUGGCAGGCUUGAAUUCGGGAGAGGGAUGCGGAAUUCCAGGUGUAGCGGUGAAAUGCGUAGAUAUCUGGAGGAACACCGGUGGCGAAGGCGGCAUCCUGGACCGAGAUUGACGCUGAGGCGCGAAAGCCAGGGGAGCAAACGGG